AGAGACCUAGUCGAUUUCAAAAGAAUUAAUACACCAUAUCACCACAAAGUAAAACUCAGAAUAAUAAAAAUAAUAACGAGGAUAAGUGGAGCGCCGGCGAGGCCGUAUUGUUACAGGCCACAGAGGCGGGCGUUACACUUUAAUGUGCCGUCAGGUCGUUAGCACAGCCCCCCGCCCGCCGCGUGUGACGGAUCAGGCGUCCGACUGAAACCACCGCCAUGGCACCGCGGUUCCGGUGGCAGGCAGCACGGAGCCCAGCAGGAAUGUCCGCUUCGACGACACGGCAGCUAAACCCUCAACUAAUCCGAAUCUGCAUGAAAUGCGUCUUCGUAUCUGCCUUUUGCUGACAUGGAAAUAAGCACGUUAAGGGCUUCGGCGGAGGCAGCCAGCUCUGGAUGGUUCAGUCGUUACUUUGAACGGACUAUAGGACGGAAAAAAAAACAACGGGACGCCUCUGCUUUCCUUCACCGCGAAAGCUGGUCUGUAGAGCCGCCAUGAAUGUUUCAACGGCUCGGAGAUAUUAUUUGAAAAUCCGUAACAAACAGUAAUUCACCCACCUGUCUUGUCAGUGGCAAACAAGCGAAGAGAAGAAAGCAAACGCAAGUCGCGCUAGUGGUUUUGGGGUUUUUUUGUUUUUUAAAAAGUGCCUUUUUUCCAGGUACAGACCCCGGGGAGUCAGGACGAAACGUAUCCGACGAGAGGAGCGUCUGGUUCGGUAUGAAACUCCGCCCAGCGCCGCAGGGGGAGGAACUCCGAAGAAAAACAUGCGAGAUAAUAGGAGACAAAGGCGGAGGCGACAGUUUGGUCCGGAGUUUUAUUUUUAUUAAACUUUUACAAUACAUUUUUAUUAAUUUUAAAUUAUUGAAACAAUUUUACAUCAUAACUUGAUCCCCGAGUCACUGGCUAGCCACGCAGCUAAAGCGCGUUGGCUGCAGCAUGGAGAGAGGAGUGGGCUCCUGGAGAGGCGGCUUGCGGCCCAGGGGUUCGGCUGCCCGUAACCCAGGCACUCUUACAUGUGAAGUGUGUUUCCCCGCUUGUGUGCGUCCCAUAUCGCCAAGCGCUUCAUCACUCUGGGCCGCUUAAACUCGCGGCCGCCUACCGCGAGUCCCCGGAGCCGCUAGCCAGCAAGCUAACCAGGCUAACGGAGCUAACUAGCUGACUUGCCCCGGGAUUACGUAAUCUGGCGGCUCGUGUCCCGUUAGUCCCAUUGGGGCGCCUUAGUCACGAAUCGGGGGUUUACGUUGCAUUUCGUUUUACUGCAAAACAAUAGGUUUGCGUGACGACUUUCCUGUCGUUCUUGCGAUCUUUUAGUGAUUUCGUGUAAUGGCUGAGGCACUGUGAAACCUGGUCUGGGCAAAGCCACCCACAUCACGAAGUGAUGCACUUCGUAACAUUACUAAUCGGUUGCCAAGUUUAUAAGAAUUUAGAUACGACUGUUCAUUCACAGUUAAGCGUGGACACAUACAUUCCUAAAUGCUUGGGUGCUGUUGCUGAGGUAUCACUGACCUGCCGACCUUGCGGUUGUGUAAGGAAUAGUGACGGUUUUGUUGGAAGGGAUAUUCAAAAUGAACAAUGCAUGCAUACCCUACACCUGGUUUGCCUUUUUGCCAACUGUAUAUACUUCUGGUGUAUUUUACUGUAUCUUUGAACAUAUAAAAUGUACUGAAAUGUAGGCCAGUAGCAUCAUAAAAAUUAAGUACAUUUGUUACCAUGGGCAGUAAAAAGAAUGAAUACAGCUUGUUAAACGCAUAGUGAGUAUUUCUUUUCAUUGAGCAUGUGGGAAAUAAUUUGGUUUUAAUCAUGAAAACCUAAUUUGUUUGGGAAUGUUAUUGGGCUGUCCUGGAAGAAAACUGAGGGGAAAAAAAGAAAAAAAAAAAAUCAAGGAAAACGACUAGUAGAAAAAAA